rnacentral:rRNA from 1 species
CUUGGUCAUUUAGAGGAAGUAAAAGUCGUAACAAGGUUUCCGUAGGUGAACCUGCGGAAGGAUCAUUAUUGAAAUAAGCAUUUGAUAGGCUGUUGCUGGCCCUUCUUGGGUAGUGUGCACGCUUGUCAUUUAUUUAUCUAUUUCCACCUGUGCACCUUUUUGUAGACCUUAGAGAAGACUGCUGUGCGGGCCUCUCUAGGUUCUAUGUUACUCACAUACUCCUAUGAAUGUAAUAGAAUGUUGAUCUGGGUCUUUGCCCAUAAAGUUAUAUACAACUUUCAGCAAUGGAUCUCUUGGCUCUCGCAUCGAUGAAGAACGCAGCGAAAUGCGAUAAGUAAUGUGAAUUGCAGAAUUCAGUGAAUCAUCGAAUCUUUGAACGCAUCUUGCGCUCCUUGGUAUUCUGAGGAGCAUGCCUGUUUGAGUGUCAUUAAAUUCUCAACCACACUGUCUUUGAUUAGUGUGGCUUGGAUUUGGGGGGAAUUUUGUUGUGGGCUUUAUGCAGUCUGCUCCCCUGAAAUUAAUUAGCGGUACCUUGAGUGGAACUGUCUACAGGUGUGAUAAUUAUCUACAUCCUAGACAUCUGCUGGAAUGCUGCUUUCUAAACUGACCUCCUGACAAUCUUGACCUCAAAUCAGGUAGGACUACCCGCUGAGACUUGGAGCAUAUCAAUAAGCGGAGG